UGCAAAUACCCACAAAAUUUGACUAAAAAUUUGCGAAAAUUGCACGUUUCUAUCAUCUUUUAUUUCCUUUUCUGACACACGUGAUGAAAAUGCAAGCAAGCUUAGCUUAAUCAAGAUUGAAGCAGUUUUACUCUCUUCUUUGUUGAGAACAGCCGCCAUUAACGACCUUGAUCCAACAUGUACCAGGGAAGAAGGAUGGACAAGGGAACACGAAUGAGGGCAGAAGCUACAUUCGAAUUAACCCAGUCAAUUGCUUCUGGUGUUUGUAAUCAAGAAGGUAGUGAUGUUGAAGUCGAGGAAGAUUUUGAUGUAGAAUUAAAUGACGACGAACCUUUCUUUCUGCGAGGAAAAACCAGUAGAAGUACAGGCAUUGAUAUGCCCCCUGUCAAACUCUUUAAAAACCCAGAAGGUUCAUUGACUCGUGCAGCUUUACUUCAAUCUGCACUGGUUAAACAACGUAGAGAAAUCCGUGAAGAACAAAAAAGAAUUCUUGAUUCAAUGCCUAAGGAUUUUAACCGUUCGUGGGAAGACCCAGUUCCUGAAAUUGGAGCUAGGUGUUUAGCACAUGAAGUUGAGGAUUUUCUUGGUUCGUCUGGUCAUACAAUCCCAGAAUGGAAAAAAGAAGUUUUUGGUAAAGCUUGUAGCUUUGGCAAGAAAUCAAACUCGUCAAUUGAAGAGCAGAGAAAAAGCUUGCCAAUUUAUAAGUCGAAGAAAGAAUUAGUUAAAGCUGUGUUUGAUAAUCAGGUGCUUGUAGUGAUUGGUGAGACUGGUUUGGGGAAGACUACACAGAUAACCCAGUAUCUUGCUGAGGCCGGUUAUACUGCACAAGGGAAAAUUGGCUGUACGCAGCCUAGAAGAGUGGCUGCAAUUUCUGUCGCUAAAAGGGUAGCUGAAGAAUUUGGUUGUAGGUUAAGAGAGGAGGUUGGGUAUGCUAUUAGGUUUGAUGAUUGUACUGGGCCUAAUACUGUGAUUAAGUAUAUGACCGAUGGGUUUCUUCUUAGGGAAAUUUUGAUUGAUAAUGAUCUGUCUCAGUAUUCUGUUAUAAUGCUUGACGAGGCUCAUGAGAGAACUAUUUAUACUGAUGUUCUUUUUGGGUUGCUUAAGAAGCUUUUGAAAAGGAGAUCAGAUCUUAGGUUGAUUGUCACUUCUGCUGCACCUGAUGCUGAGAAGUUCUCUGGGUAUUUCUCUAAUUGUAAUAUUUUUACUAUUCCUGGCAGAUCUUUUCCUGUGGAGACACUAUAUACUAAACAGCCUGAAAGUGAUUAUCUUGAUGCAGCUCUUAAAACAGUCUUGCAGAUCCACUUGACAGAACCUGAAGGAGAUAUUUUGCUCUUCUUAACAGGUCACGAAGAAAUAGAUUUUGCAUGUGAGUCUCUUGACAAUAGAAGGAAAGAACUUGGUAAUAAUGUUCCUGACUUGAUUAUCCUGCCUAUUUAUAGUGCUCUUCCAGGUGAAAUGCAAUCUAGGAUAUUUGAACCAACUGCUCCAGGGAAGAGGAAAGUGGCUGUAGCAACUAAUAUUGCUGAAGCGUCAUUGACUAUAGAUGGAAUUUUCUAUGUCAUUGAUCCUGGAUUUAUGAAACAAAAUGUUUAUAAUCCUGAGUUAGGGGUUGAAUCUUUGCUUAUAACCCCUAUUUCACAGGCAUCUGCCAAGCAACGAGCUGGGCAUGCUGGGCGUAUUGGCCCUGGAAAGUGUUACCGUCUCUAUACUGAGAAUGCAUUUAGGAAUGAGAUGUCUCCUACUGCAACUCCUGAAAUCCAAAGGAUUAACCUUGCAGAGAUUGUGCUGUCCAUGAUGGCUAUGGGAGUUAGAGAUGUAUUCUCUUUUGAUUUUAUGGAUUCUCCUUCAUUCCAAGCUCUUGUUUCUGCCAUGGAUCAACUGUAUGGUCUAGGGGCAUUGGAUGAGGAAGGGCUUCUAACUAAAACAGGUAGGCUAAUGGCAGUAUUUCCUCUUGGCCCACCAUUGUCUAAAUUGUUAGUAGCUAGUGAAUAUCUUGGUUGCAGUGAUGAGAUUUUGACUAUUAUUGCCAUGAUCCAAACUGGUAAUAUCUUUUACAGGCCUAGGGAAAAACAAGCUCAAUCAGAUAAGAAGAGGAGUAACUUUUUCCAUCCACAAGGAGACCAUCUGACUUUACUUGCUGUAUAUGAGGCCUGGAAAGCAAAAGGUUUCUCAGAUUCUUGGUGUCAUGAGAAUUUUGUUCAGGCUCAGUCUUUGAGGAGGGCAAAGGAUGUUAGAAAACAACUUCUUACCAUUAUGGAUAGGUAUAAUUUGGAUAUUGUGAGUGCUGGAGCGAACGUUAUGAAGAUAACGAAAGCAAUUGCUGCAGGAUUCUUUUUUCACACAGCUAAAAAAGAUCCGCAAGGGGGUUAUCGGACCCUGAUUAACAAUCAGACAUUCUAUAUCCAUCCAAGCAGUGCACUUUACAGCAGACAACCAAACUGGCUCAUCUACCAUGAAGUAGUAAUGACUACCAAGGAGUACAUGCGUGAGGUAACUGUCAUAGACCCUAAAUGGCUUGUAGAACUAGCAUCAAGAUUCUUCAAGGCUGCAGAUCCAAAGAAUAUGAGUAAGCGCAAAUGUUAAGAACGCAUUGAACUUCUUUAUGAUAGAUAUCAGGAACCUAAUCCAUGGCGCCUCAGUAAAUGAGGAUAUUAAUGCAGGCUUCAGCAUUUUGAGGGUUAAGUUUGAUCACAAGAGUCUGUUUCCUCCAUGAUAGAGAGAUAUAAAACUUGUCAGUUAACCUGAUGUGGUGCUCCUAUAUUAAGGCUUGAAUUGUAAGGUGAUAUUUCAAAUAUGAUCUCUGCUGAUACUUUGUCUUCAAUUACUUUAAUGCUUGCUUAUGAUCAUUUCCUUUUUAAUCUUUAAAACAAACUCUCCAUUAGCAUUUUCUAAGAAGCAAUACUUAUAUUAUGAAGAUGAUUUCAUUGUGAAAUCUUGUGUUUUUGCAUAUAGUUUCUCAGUAAAAUUUAUUUUUGUUCAAUUACUGUUUCUGUUUCUGCAACAAAAUAAACCACAAACAUUUUAUAGUUAAUUAUAUUGUAAGAUUGUUUUUUCUAUUAAGCGAAGCGAUAAACAUGCAGCACCAUAGAUCAAGUAUCUUAAUUUCAUGCUUUAGUUUCACCAAUCACUGCUGUAGCGCAUCCUUUUUUCUAUGAAUUCUUUCUUUCUUCAAUAAGCAGACUACAAUUAGCACUGUUCUAUUUCUAUGAGAUGUGAUGAUUUGUGAUAGAAAUAAAUAUAAAUUUUGAAAUAAGACUGCCAUCUACCAAAUGCAUUAAUGGGAUUAUCUAGAAAUGGGAUCAUCAUCAUGUGGAUGGGAAUUUCAUUCAAACAAAUCUAGGUUUCUUUUUAUGUAAUAUCCUUGUGCAGCAUUCAAUUAUUCAAUCCACGUAAUUUGAGGUUUGCUCACAUGCCACUUUGUUCUGUUUGUUUGAGCGAUAAACAUGUAUUCAAGGAACCAAUCCUUAUAAUCCAGGACAACAUUGAUUAAGGUUAUAUUUCAUUUGAUAUUCUUGGCAGUAGAAUGACAUAUGCACCCGUCUUCCACUCUCACUCCUACUCUCAACUGCUGCAAUGAAAUGCAGCUUUGACUCCAAGAAAAUAUUUUCAACUUGAGUGUACCUUCAUGAGGUAGUAUCAAUCUCAAAUAUUUAUUCUUUUAUUUUCACUUUUUUAAUUCUUUUUUCUUCUUUAUUUUACUAUUAGUUUCCACUUUUUUUAUUGGGAACAUGGGAAGGAGGGAAGAGGUUUUCUAUCUGAGGUCUCUGCCUCUCCUUUAUCCUACUUGAUGCCCUUGUGUCAUAGUUAUAUAUAUGGUUAGUUGAUCUUCAUAAAUAGCUCAAUGGAUAGACAUUUCAUAUUACCAGCACACUACAUGAUAUGUAUCUGUCCAAAUUGAUAGAUAUUGUUUCAUAGGAAGUGCAUUAUUUGCUGAAUCUAAGACAAAUUACUAUUAAGCAAUGAAUAGAAAAUGGAAGUAAUCUAUUUUUGGUGAACAUUAUGAAAAUUGUCUUGGGAUAUGAGAAAAAAUAUGUAUAUCUACAAAUUGAUAUAAUAUAUCUUUGUGGACAAGAGCUGUGUGUGGUGGAAAUCAGAUGGUUUCUGUUUGACACAAUUCUGAAACAGAAGACCUGCUUUUACUUUCUUGGCACUCAGAAUCCUUUCUGUGCUCGCAAAGGUAUGUUACUUCUCCAUGCAUGGUUACAUGCAUGUAUUGAUACAUGAAACAAGUGCAAAGUUAUCUUCAAUCUUGAAAGCUUUGUAGUUUAUGUGGUGUAAGUUAUUCGGUUUUGAAGCAAGUCGAUAUAUGAUUGUUGUUCUGAUGUGUCACUGUGAUAAUUGUGGCUAUGAUUACCAUGAUUAAGUUGACUAAUUUUUCCUACUUAAGCUAUUACCUCAACCGGGGAUGAGUUUACGCUUUCGGAGGCAAGGUGCAGGUUUAAAUCCUGUAUAUGGUUUUGAAUGGCAGAUAUUAUUGUGUUUUUUAUGCAGACUGUGGCUUCUCAGUUGUAAUUUUUAUAGGCAUUCAACAUAAUAGAGAAAAAACAUGGGAUGGAUGAUAUCCUUAGCGGGCUGGCUUGUUGGCAAGUUCAAUUUAAGGAUGCGAGACAAUAUGUCAAAGGAAUGGUUUUCUGGAUAGCAACAUUGAAGCAACUGCUUCUAUUGUUGAUGUUUAAUGAUCUUCCUUAAUGAAUGUUUCUCAUUUUCCUAAAAAAGAAAAAAUCUGUUCAACUUAUAAUUAUCGAAAA